CGGGGGGGGCAAGCGUUGUUCGGAAUUACUGGGCGUAAAGGGCGCGUAGGCGGCUCGCUAAGUCGGGUGUGAAAACUCUGGGCUCAACCCAGAGCCUGCAUUCGAAACUGACGGGCUAGAGUUCUGGAGGGGAAAGCGGAAUUCCUGGUGUAGCGGUGAAAUGCGUAGAUAUCAGGAGGAACACCGGUGGCGAAGGCGGCUUUCUGGACAGAAACUGACGCUGAGGCGCGAAAGCUAGGGGAGCAAACAGGAUUAGAUACCCUGGUAGUCCUAGCCCUAAACGAUGGAUACUUGCUGUGAGGGGGAUUGAAUCCCUUCGUGGCGAAGCUAACGCAUUAAGUAUCCCGCCUGGGGAGUACGGUCGCAAGGCUG
rnacentral:rRNA from 1 species